GCCCAAGUAGCUCAGGUGGUAGAGCAUACGACUGAAAAUCGUAGUGUCGGUGGUUCGAUCCCGCCCUUGGGCA
rnacentral:tRNA from 1 species